GACGAACGCUGGCGGCGUGCUUAACACAUGCAAGUCGAACGGAAAGGCCCUGCUUUUGUGGGGUGCUCGAGUGGCGAACGGGUGAGUAAAACGUGAGUAACCUGCCCUUGACUUUGGGAUAACUUCAGGAAACUGGGGCUAAUACCGGAUAGGAGCUCCUGCUGCAUGGUGGGGGUUGGAAAGUUUCGGCGGUUGGGGAUGGAAUCGCGGCUUAUCAGCUUGUUGGUGGGGUAGUGGCUUACCAAGGCUUUGACGGGUAGCCGGCCUGAGAGGGUGACCGGCCACAUUGGGACUGAGAUACGGCCCAGACUCCUACGGGAGGCAGCAGUGGGGAAUAUUGCACAAUGGGCGGAAGCCUGAUGCAGCAACGCCGCGUGCGGGAUGACGGCCUUCGGGUUGUAAACCGCUUUCGCCUGUGACGAAGCGUGAGUGACGGUAAUGGGUAAAGAAGCACCGGCUAACUACGUG
rnacentral:rRNA from 1 species